rnacentral:tRNA from 1 species
GGUUUUUUAGUCAAUAAUGAUUUUAAAUUGCAAAUUUAAAGGAGAGGUAAUACUUAAAAACUU